CUUUCUUUGCUGGCGACCGGCGCACGGGCGAGUAACACGUAUCCAACCUGCCCUUUACUCGGGGAUAGCCUUUCGAAAGAAAGAUUAAUACCCGAUAGCAUAAUGAUUCCGCAUGGUUUCAUUAUUAAAGGAUUCCGGUAAAGGAUGGGGAUGCGUUCCAUUAGGUUGUUGGUGAGGUAACGGCUCACCAAGCCUUCGAUGGAUAGGGGUUCUGAGAGGAAGGUCCCCCACAUUGGAACUGAGACACGGUCCAA
rnacentral:rRNA from 1 species